rnacentral:rRNA from 1 species
UACAGAGGGGGCGAAGCGUUAUUCGGAAUUAUUGGGCGUAAAGGGCGCGUAGGCGGUUUUUUAAGUUCAGAUGUGUAAUCCCCGACGCUCAACUUGGGUAACGUGCAUCUGAGACUGGAAGGCUAGAGUACUGGAGAGGGUGGUGGAAUUCCUCGUGUAGCGGUGAAAUGCGUAGAGAUGAGGAGGAACACCAGUGGCGAAGGCGGCCACCUGGACAG